rnacentral:rRNA from 1 species
CGCGUAGGUGGUUCUGUAUGUCUACCGUGAAAGCGUACGGCUCAACCGUAUUUUGUCGGUAGAAACUGCAGGACUUGAGGCGUGGGGAGGGGCUGGUGGAAUUCCCUGUGUAGCGGUGAAAUGCGUAGAGAUGGGGGAGAACACUCGUGGCGAAGGCGGCCAGCUAGACCAGUUCUGACACUGAGGCGCGACAGCGUGGGGAGCAAACA